AAGCUUAUUUCAUUGCGAAGAAAUUCAAAAGCACAGAAAUUUCCAAUUAAUAGAUACUAAUGAAGUAAGUACAAAAAACAUAUACAGACAGCUACCGUCUCGUAUUAUGAAGGUUAGUCCUUGGUCUUUCUGCGGUUUAUACUCCCCUGUAUUUUUUACAACACUGUGUGCGGGGCCGUCAGAAUUUUCAAAGAACUUGUGAGACAGCUUUACUAUUUCUGCAUCAUUUUAAAAUCGUUUAUGAAUCACUAUGUCCCUAAAGAACCAGUGUGCGUUUGUAAUGAUACGGAGAAUUUUGUUUUGGAAUCUCUGUAGUAGAAAAUGGUUUGAUCGUGUAGUAGCUGCCCAUGCAGGAGCGAGGGCUCGAUUACAGAGAAAGAGCCUGAGAAACGGCUACCAUCCAAGGAAGGCAGCAGGCUCCCAAAUUUCCCACUCCCAAAACGGGGAAAAGUGACGAAAAAUCACAAUAUGGAACUCUUUUGAGAUCCCGUAAAUGGAAUAAGUACACUCUAAAUCCUUUAAACAGGAUCAGUUGGAAGGCAAGACUGGUGCCAGCAGCCCCGGUAAUUCCAGCUCCAAUAGCGU
rnacentral:ncRNA from 1 species